AAAAAAACACCACUUUCAAAAGGAGCUGAGAGAAAAUGCAUGGUACUCUGUCUGUCUCACGUGGUCGGGUCGAGCCCAGCUGCUGAGGGUCUUCGUGAAUGAAACCAUUCUGGAUGAGCCACAUCAAAAUCCUAUCCCACACGGACACCUGGCCCAAAAUGGCACUCUAAGUCUCGGGGCGUCUCAUUUUCUGCGAGAUGGCGAAGUGCAGCCAGAGAGCGGCAAUAACCUGGUUGGUGAGAUUGGUCUGUUCAGGAUGUGGGGCAGAGAAUGGAAUGCUGGGGAGCUGAGGAGUCUGGGCUGUGCCGAUGGAGAUGUGCUGAGCUGGGAUCUGAAGCAUUUCAAACAGGGCCGUCGUCCCCAGUCUGACAACAAUCUACACUGUGCAUGGUCACACUACAAAAUCAAAAUGUGGACAGUGGUAACCACCUCUAAUGAGUCUGGACAACGUUCAGUCCCACUGGAGGAAAUCGUGAGAAACUGGUUGGAGAGCAUUUUACCUCAAAGUGUUUCUGUCCAGAACAUCAAUGUGUCCUUUCCAAGCCAGGCCUGCCAUGUAGUUAAUAAUUCUGAUGCCCGACAUACGCAACAACCUCAGGUAC